rnacentral:misc_RNA from 1 species
UCCGGCUUAUCACCGGCAGUCCCUUUAGAGUGCCCAACUAAAUGAUGGCAACUAAAGGCGAGGGUUGCGCUCGUUGCAGGACUUAACCCAACAUCUCACGGCACGAGCUGACGACAGCCAUGCACCACCUGUGCACUAGCCCCGAAGGGCUACCGAAUUUCUCCGGUAUUCCAGUGCAUGUCAAGCCUUGGUAAGGUUCUUCGCGUUGCGUCGAAUUAAACCACAUGCUCCGCUGCUUGUGCGGGCCCCCGUCAAUUUCUUUGAGUUUUAGCCUUGCGGCCGUACUCCCCAGGCGGGGUACUUAAUGCGUUAGCUACGGCACGGAUCCCAAGGAAGGAAACCCUCACCUAGUACCCACCGUUUACGGCGUGGACUAC